rnacentral:lncRNA from 1 species
CGGUGGAGCAGGGAUGCCUGAGCACAAGUAGCGAGUUCCGAGUGACUUUAGGAAAUGCUUCCCCCCCUUCCUGGGCAUGCAAACAAGACUCUGCACCUGCACCGCAGUUUGUUCCGGAGAGAAGCCUCGGCUUCGCCCUGCAGGGACGAGGAACUAGAGCAAGAAGCAGCAUUUGAAAAUUGCUCUGGAGUCAAGGAAAAAAAAAAUCCCAUGAAGGAGAAUGAAGGCAGCUCCAUCUACAUGUUCAAUGGCAAUCCAGUAGGAACCACAGCUACGUACGUGCAUGUCCCUGAGGAACUUAAAGAGGUUGGUUCGCUAUACCCUAAAAUUAGGGUGUGAUUAAGGUUCACCAUUUCUUUGAGAUCCCUGGAAACACUUUGUUCUCUGCCUGUCAGACUUUCCUCUCUGCCCAGUGUCUCCAUGUACACACACUCCAGCAUUUCUCUCUCUCUCUCUCUCUCUCUCUCUCUCUCUCUCUCUCUCUCUCUCUCUCUCUCUCUCUCCUCUCUCUCUUUCCUCUUUCUCUCCUCCUUCUCUCUCCUCUCUUUCUCCUCCCUCUCUCUCCUCUCUCUUUCUCCUUUCUCCUCUCUUCUCUCUCUCACCCCCUUUCUCUUUUUAUUACCUACAUUUUUCCUCCUCCCCUUUCUUGAUCUCCUUAGCAGAUGUCUUUUAUAAUUUAUGUUGUUUACUAUCCUUUCAUUAAAGCUAAGCUGCUUCUUAGGCAGCCAGAACACCUAAGUACACACUAGAGGAGAGUGAUACACAGGUGCCACUCCACAGUCUCAUCAGGGCACUUCUAAUAAGCAUCUUGGUACCACCGAAUGCAAAGCUGCAUUCAAAUAACAGCUUUCAUCUUCAGUCUUUGUAAAUAUAAAAGUAACCCUUGAAGCCCUUUGAAGGACCCAACCAAACAUCAUACACAAGAAAAUAGAUCAGCAAGGCUUUGAAUGACGUGUUUGUGUAAAAUCUGUAAGGCAUCUCACUGUCUCUAUCAAGCAAGACAUCUAGGUAAAUGGUGGCGUUUAAUACGACACAUGGCAAUCUCAGUUAUGAGGGUCACGAUUAUGUGUUCUCUGUGCUGUUUUGUGUUCCCACCAGGGUGUUUUUCUUUUCUUUCUUUUUUCCUCCCAUCAAAAAUUCAAGACUCUUUACAAUUCUCUGUGUAUAAAAUGUACACACAACGCUACAGUAGUUUUUGCUAUGUGUUGUUUGUUUGUUUUUAGUAUAACCACCCUGACACUCUGAGUCAACCCCCCCCCACACACACACACAAACAAAAAACAAAACACCAACAACAAAGAAACUGUGUUAAAUGGGCAGACAGAUUGGAACUUGAGGGCUAUAGCUAAGAGAAAGAAAGUGGAGGCUUGAAGGCUAUAAUUUCUCUUUCUGUGGUGGUAACAAAAUCAGGGGAUACAUGGAGUCAGGUGACUGCAGACUGGAACCAGAGCCGGGAAGAGCAAACUGCACAGAGAAGGACCCCACUCCUCAGGAUGUGCUAUGUGGCAAGAUGGAGAAGUCCUCACUGAAUCCGUUCCACACUCAGUACCCAAGUCCCAAUGCCUGUGACCCCGCUUCCCAGUUGAUUGGAUCCUAGAUUUGACAGUUCCAUGUUUGAUUCUCCUUCCUUCCACUUCUUUACUUUAAAGCAAAACAAAAGAUAAAUAAGUUACCAGGCCCCUGACUUCUGGCCCCUGCUGAGAGCUCAAAGAAGACACUGCAUCUAAAAGAAUACUCAGUGGACCAGAGGCAGCGGUGCAUGCUCUGGCGUGCACUUGCAGUUCUCUGCUUAUAACUUAGCCAUAUCCUUAUAUUCAGAAAAUUAAAUAGAAUCCUAGAAAUGAUAGUAAGCACAGAAAUUGUACAUUGUGACUCAUAUCAAGUGGAAAGCAGGAAGUCCUAAAACUGCCUCCUAGGUCAUCAGACUAGCUAGAGGGUGCCAUCAGCUUAAUUACAGGUUUGCACACUCAGAGAGGAUGGUGUAGAAAUGUUUGAGGAGAAAUACCCUUAUCAAGACACACAUACAGUAAACUGGAAUUACCAUCCAACCUAGACAAGAGUGUGUGUUGAAAUUGCCUGAGGAUAUUGUUCACACAGCAAACUGAUGUCAAUCUCAGAUCUUCUGACAUCUGUAUACAUAUGAUAAUCAACAGAAUUCUGCUGAGAAUUGAGUAUUUUCUUCGGGACACAUCUGCAGCUUCUGUUUACCUUUCUUCCCUGUUCUGAAGGUGUUUGCUCACUUUCCUGUAGUUCUGAUUUGCUCACGAGGAUGCCCAGACAACAGGAAGGUAAGUACAUGCAUAAAUUGUGUUAGACCUUUGGGAAUUCCUUCCUCCGUUUCAGUAUUGUGGUUUUGGUUUUGUUUUGUUAAAAAAAAAAUGGGUGAGAUGAAAGCCCAUUUUCUCAUUUAUAAAUAUCCCCACGAGAACUGGUAGCUCUGUGAGCACAGAGAAGAGGCAUGGCAGACAACCGAUACAUCCCAUCUUUAGAAGUAUUGGCAGGUUUCUGUAGGAAAUACAGUUUAUUCUGGAAGACAUGGUUACCAUAAUUUAAAAAAAAACAAGAUAUUUAGCACACCAAUAAAUAAUUGUGUACAUUAAGAUUUUAACAUUCUUUUGUUGUUGUUUUUGAGACAUCUUAGUCUUCAGCACAGACUGGCCUCAAACUCAUGAUCAUCCUCCUGCCUCUGUAUUCAGUGUUAAGACUGUAGGUAUUAGUCACCACUCUUGACUUAAAAUUUUAAUUCUAACCCUAAACCAAUUAACUAGUUUUCCUAAGAAAAUUAAUUUCUUUUAAAAAAUUUGCUAAUAUUUGAAUCAGCACAGAAAUUUGUAUAGAUUUUUUAAAUUUGGCAAGUAGGGUGCCGUAGUUCCAAAAAGCUUGCCACACUUUCCUAUGGUAAAGAAUGCAAGCCUAAGGUGUUUUGAAGAAAUCAGGGUGUUAUUCUUCUACAGAUGGUUUGAUUGAAAUGUUUUAAAGAUGGCUGUCUCUUCAGUAAAGCCUUUGCUUUACUGAAGUAAACACUUUGAUGCCAUAAUAACGUUUCAGUGGUUCUCAGUCUCCACCUACAGAUGCUAUUGGCUAUCUAUGCAGGACAAACAUCUGGCAAACUGAGGUUGCACCUAAAUAAAACAGAAAACACUUAAACCAGAAUUCUGUCAGCCACAUUUCUCCAGGGUUAAUUUUAUGUAAUAAAAUUAUAUUAUAUUGUGAAUGGCUUCUUUAGUUGGGGAGAUCUGGGAAUACCUAUGGGAGGGGGUCACAUUAUAUACAUGAGAAUGUAUUCCAGUUCUAUCAGGAGGUUUUAAAAGCACAUUGAGAGGUGACCAUUGAUCAUAAUCCAUUUCAUUUAGAAACUGGGCUGUAUGUUUUUGCUCAUCCUUCUGAUUUUAGAAAAUAUAGGGAGAUGAUAUAUGAAGUCUUAUUGAUAACAGUGUUUCCUCCACUAUCAAAAUGGGCAGUGCAAUCUUACACAGUCGCUUGCUUUUCCCAAGAAGGUGAUUCACCAACCUGGGCACUCACACAAGGUGUGCGAUAUAGAACUCAGAACUUCAGCACAAAACGAAACCUUCAGUGGAGAUGUCCUGCUGAUCCAAACCAAUUAGCUAUGCUUUCUGCACUGGGGUGAAAACUCUUGGGAGGCCUUGGAAAUUAGAGUAGAGCUUUGGGUAGAGAGCAACUUCACUUGUCUUAUGGGGCCAUACCACUGUGAUGGAUGCUCUCGUUUCCCAUGUGGGCAACUGAGGAAUUAUAGCAACUAUGGUUGUUUUUUGUUUGUUUUUAUCUUUUUGUUUUUGUUUUUUGUUUGUUUUUGUUUUUUGUUUUUGUUAGUUUGUUUGUUUGUUUGAGACAGGGUUUCUCUGUGUAGCCCUGGCUGACCUGGAACUCACUCUGUAGACCAGGCUGUCCUUGAACUCAGAAAUCUGCCUGCCUCUGCUUCCCAAGUGCUGGGAUUAAAGGCGCGUGCCACCACUGCCCAGCCUAGAGCCAAUAUAUAUUGAGGGAAAAGUAUGUUAUUUUUCUCUAGGUCAGGGUCAUUCCUCCUGACCUCUGCUGAUAUUUUAAUCUAUAUCAUUCCUUUCAUGGGGAGAUUCUUCAGCCUUGGCUCCUACCUGCUGUGUGACAGUUCCGCCUUCCCUAAGCCACUCAUAUACAACCGAAGGUCCUUCAGAGACCAGCUCCCCCUGACUGAGAGCUACCUGCAAGAUAUUUUUGGUCUUCCUUGAUCUAUACAUAAAGUUAGUUAUAUUAGAUAUUCACACCUACUUUAAUAGAGAAUGUGUAUGUGUUUGUGUGUGUGUAUGUGUGUGUAUGUGUAUGUGUGUGUGUGUGUAUGCAGCAGAUUUCUGAACAGAGCAGAAAUGCUCCUGCAAACCAGUAUUUUAUGUGUGUACAUAAAUCUGUAGUUCUAGCUGUGUGCCCAUCACCUGCAUCGCUCAUGUGAUAACAUAAGACUAUUAAGAGUCAUCAACGGGCGUGGUGGCACACGCCUUUAGUCCCAGCACUUGGGAGGCGGAGGCGGGCAGAUUUCUGAGUUUGAGGCCAGCCUGGUCUACAGAGUGAGUUCCAGGACAGCCAGGACUGCAGAGAAAC